AUUUUGUAGCAAUUCCGGCAGUUCCUCGCAGUGUAUUCGGCAGAUCCUCCCGUGAUUUAUCAAAACCAAUCUGCAUGCUAAUACAUGAUUCAUUUAUCUAUGAGGUAAGCAAAAUGGCUACAGGUACUGUGAAGUGGUUCAACGAUAGUAAAGGCUUUGGAUUUAUUACCCCGGCUGACGGGGGUGAUGACCUAUUCGUCCAUCAUUCGGCCAUUCAGGCCGGUGGGUUCAAAUCGCUGGCUGAGGGACAGCAGGUGACAUUUGAUGCUGAGCGUGGCCCGAAGGGCCCGAGUGCGGCCAACGUUACCCCACAAUAGGCCAACCCGGCCAGCACCAGCCCGGGACAGCGGAGCCCUGCCGUAAGGCGGGGCUUUUUUU
rnacentral:sRNA from 1 species